CCUACGGGAGGCAGCAGUGAGGAAUAUUGGUCAAUGGACGAGAGUCUUAACCAGCCAAGUCGCGUGAAGGAUGACUGCCCUAUGGGUUGUAAACUUCUUUUAUAUGGGAAUAAAUUGUUCCACGUGUGGGAUUUUGUAUGUACCAUAUGAAUAAGGCUCGGCUAACUCCGUGCCAGCAGCCGCGGUAAUACGGAGGAUCCGAGCAUUAUCCGGAUUUAUUGGGUUUAAAGGGUGCGUAGGUGGAAUGUUAAGUCCGUUGUGAAAGUUUGCGGCUCAACCGUAAAAUUGCAGUUGAAACUGGCAGUCUUGAGUACAGUAGAGGUGGGCGGAAUGCGUGGUGUAGCGGUGAAAUGCUUAGAUAUCACGAAGAACUCCGAUUGCGAAGGCAGUUCACUGGACUGCAACUGACACUGAGGCUCGAAAGUGUGGGUAUCAAACAGGAUUAGAUACCCGAGUAGUC
rnacentral:rRNA from 1 species